AUUGAACGCUGGCGGCAUGCUUUACACAUGCAAGUCGAACGGUAACAGGGUGCUUGCACCGCUGACGAGUGGCGAACGGGUGAGUAAUGCGUCGGAACGUGCCGAGUAGUGGGGGAUAACGCAGCGAAAGUUGUGCUAAUACCGCAUACGUACUGAGGUAGAAAGUGGGGGACCUUCGGGCCUCACGCUAUUCGAGCGGCCGACGUCUGAUUAGCUAGUAGGUGAGGUAAAGGCUCACCUAGGCGACGAUCAGUAGCGGGUCUGAGAGGAUGAUGCGCCACGCUGGGACGGAGACACGGCCCAGGCUCCUACGGGAGGCAGUAGUGGGGUAUUUUUGACAUUGGUAGAAAGCCUGAUCCAGCCAUGCCGCGUGUCUGAAGAAGGCCUUCGGGGUGUAAAGGACUUUUGUCAGGGAGGAAAUCCCUAGUGCUAAUAACACUGGGGGAUGACAGUACCUGAAGAAUAAGCACCGGCUAACUACGUGCCAGCAGCCGCCGUAA
rnacentral:rRNA from 1 species